rnacentral:lncRNA from 10 species
GGCACUACAAGUGACAUGCCACUGGGCAGGGGGCAGGUCUUUCCUGUGCUGUUCUUGUGAAAGUGAGUAAGUCUCAUGAGAUCUGAAGGCUUUGAAAAACAGGAAUCUCCCUGUACAAGCUCUCUCUUUGCCUGCUGCCAUCCAUGUAAGACGUGACUUGCUCCUUCUUGUCUUCUGCCAUAAUUGUGAGUCUUCCCCAGCCAUGUGGAACUGAGACAAAGAGAGACCAUUAUGCUCCAGAGACAGUUGCUCCUGGACAGCUACAAGGUUCAAAGUAACUCAGAUGAGCUGUUUGAGAAGAACCUGCAUCAUUGCUGCAAGCUGAGAUUAUCUGGAUGAGCUUCGCAGAGAUCUUGAAUUUGCUAUGGCCGUGGACUGAGCUCUUCAUAGCCAUAUACUUCUGUUGUGUUGACAGUGGUUUCAGAUCUUCCAUUUGUUUUUUAAACACAACAUUUAAACCCUUUCUAUUGAUAACAAAUAAGGUGGUGUCUAUUUUCCUGACUGAACCUUGAUUGACUCAAUCCUGAUAAAGUAGGUAUCAUUAUUCCCUUUUGAAAAUCAGGUUAUGUUCAAAGAAGUUAGGUAACAUAUUUGAAAAUCACAUGACUAAUACAUGGAUCCACUGAGAUGUGU